CUAUAAAAGAAAGAAAGAGGCAGAUCCAAAUAAUCUCAGCCGCCUAAUCACACGAUCUAAUGGUUCACAAUCUCUCUGUGUUUAACGCUAGCAAGCCACUAACCCGUCGACUGAUAGUAGAUGCCUCUUCGUUAAAGAAAACUACUCCGCACGAACGAACCACGAUCUCUAUCCUGCUUCUCCUGUGUAACCUCCGCCCUCUCCUCCUGUGCACGGUGCGCCGCCCGCUCCUUGCCCAGCGGACGCGCCGACACGGGUUGCUGCCGCCGCUCCAAUCGCCCGUCGCUGCCCGCUCCAGUCGGCCUCUGCCGCCGCCCGCUCCUUCUGUGUUGCCCAGUGGACGCGCCAGCACGGGCUACCACCGCCACUCGCCGAUCCUCCACUCCGCCGCCGCUCCAAUUGCCCGUCGCCCCCUGCUCCAGUCGGCCUCUGCCGCCGACCCUCCGCUCCUCCGCCGUCGCCGCUGAACUCGGCUUCCGUCGCGGCUGACUCUGAUCCCCCACUUCGACGGUGGCCACCUAUACGAUGGUAAUCAUCUUAACUAUGAGCAAGUAGGUCGGAACUAUGAGCAAGUAGGUCACGUUUAAGAUCUCAAGGAUUCAGUGAUGUUGGAUCUAAUAGUUGGACUUCACCGCCUUCUCAAUUUAUAUAGGUGAGCACUGUUGCUUGCUGACUCACACAGCAGGAAUUAGGCGGGUUGUGGCGAACGAGGAACCAAGAGGGGCGGAAACUGUAGCUAUACAACUGCGGAAUUGAUCAAUACGAGCAUGCUUUGUCUAGCCAGGGAGAGCGCCGAGGGUGCUGGUCUGUGGCACCAGAAGAGGUGAACUCUCAACGAGAUACUAAUCAAUGGUGAAGUAUUUAGAUCAGUUCUACAACCAACUCAUGUGCUUAUAACUGUAGCUUUUGUUCAAACCUCAGUUGUAGGUAAGCUACAUUGCCAAGUGCAAAUCCUCAUCUUACUACAGUUUUCAACUUUUCAUUGAUUUUCUAUUUUGGAUUGUAUUUCCAUUUUGGGCCCCAUUUUUGACUGUAGCUUUUGUUCUGACCCCACUUGUACGCAAUGUAAUUUGCAGCCAUGAUGCUACAUUGCCAAUAUUUUAGAAAACUGUAAUUUGCUGCCAUGAUGUUACGCACGUGCAGGUCUAUGGUAGUGGUACGAAUUUGGGGGUACAUCUCCUCGCACUCAGGUGGAAGAAAUUCCUCGCCCUCAAGUCCAACUAAUUCAGGACCUGCAUCUCUGAUAUACCGUGGUUGGUUCCUUCCUCGAUGCCUUCUCUCUUGACAAUCGAUGAAAUACACAACUAGCUUGCACAUAUUUAAGGAGCACGUACAGUUUCAUUGUGUAAAAAAUAGUAGCAGGUGGGUAUUUUAGCAGUUCAGCUAUCUGAAAGAGAAAAUGAGUUGCUUCAGCAGAAAACCGAGGUCAUGACAUUAGCCACUUCACUGAAACCGGUCAGUUCAUCACUUCAUCUUUGUUCGUUGGUAAGAUCUGUAUUCUGUUGACCUUUGUAAACACAUUUUAGUAUCAUUAUCCAUUCAGUGUUCUGUUUACAGUGUACUAUUAAAUGCCAUUUUCCAUGUGUAUUUUUGUUGAUUGCUGUUGGAUUUGGAGGCAAACUAAUUUCCUCCUAAAGUAUGAAUUAUCUGCCAUGUGUAUGACUUUGAAAUCUUCAGUUUGAAAUUAUGAAAGUUUGUUCCGCUCUUACAUUAAGCAAGUGUCUAGAGGAAGUUUUGCUUUUGUUUAGGCUCGAGAAACAAACUAUCACGCAGUAUUGUGAAUUUGAAAUGGUGCUCUUCUCUUCCAAAAAUGCAUAGCAAAAUUUCAGGGACCUGCAGAUAGUUUCUUGAGUAACAAAAUUUAGGAGGCCUGACUAAUUUUAUUAUGAUAGUUCAGACAUGCUGCCAAUGAAAUUCACCCUUUACAGAAAACAGCAAGUUGUUUACUCAUGUGUUGUUCUGUUAUUAGACUGUAGGGAUAAGUUACCUUUUAGUUUUUACUACACCAAGGUUAAAGCUUUG